rnacentral:tRNA from 1 species
GGACGAUUGCCAGAGUGGCAAUGGGUCGGCUUGCUAAGCCGUAGCCGGUGACUUCGUCGCCGCGGAGGUUCGAUUCCUCCAUCGUCCGCCA